ACUUGCGCUUCCAAAGUUACGAGGUUAUGACGCUGCAGGAGGCCUAUUUGAAGAUACCAAUUUGUGUACUAUCCACGCAAAACGCAUCACAUCAUGCCCAAGGUCAUUCAGCUGGCCCGUCUAAUCCAAGGAGAGCGUGCUAUAUUAGCUUAGCAUAUAAUCAACGGUCCUUUUCAGGGCUCCAAAUUUGAUGGAUUAGAGUUCAGAAAUGUUUUUUGCAGGCCAAACUGAAAGGAGUAUUUUCGUUUGGAUGCCAUUCAGCAUCGAGAAAAUUCCGGAAAGAUCUAAUCGUUGCUUAAAAAUGACCUGCCAGUUCCCUCGGAAUUGAAAAAUACAUUCAUUCGAAAGAGUUUAUUUUAAUGUUUUCUAUCCAUGUAACACUGCGAUCAAAUAUUUUUCAAUCAAGUGCUAUUAACAGGUGGUUAUCGAGUCAGUAUUAACCACUGGUUGGCUUCGAGUAUCAAGGAAAAUCUGGAAAACUCUAAUCGUUGCUGAAAAAUAAUCUGCCAGUUCCUCUGGGAAUUGAAAAAACAUUCAUGCGAAAGAGUUUAUUUUAAUGUUUUCUAACCAUAUAACACAGCGACCAAAUACAUUUGAUUUUGUAAUUUUUCAAUCAAGUGUAAUAAGCAGGAAAGCUUCUGGAUAUUAUUCUUCCCCAUCAGUAGGAUAUUUUCGAAUCCAAUAUUGUAUGCGCGCGCAACGGAAAAUGUUUCACAUUGCGUAAAUUAUAUAAUUUUCUAUCGAUUAUUGCUCAGUCGCCAUAAGUUUCAAACUCAGAGAGUUCAUUCCCGUCUAGUUUGCCUUCCAAAUUGCCAUCGUAAACCACACCUUCUUUCGAUUCAGUCACGAACAAAAAGCAUACUUAAGCGACAUUCUGGUGGUGAAACGUAUUCAUUUUUCGUGAGGACAUCGACAAGACAACAUCAUUACUGAACGAGCUGAACGGCGAGCGAUCGAGGGAUUCAUUACCUGGCCUGACCUGACCUGAAGCGCAAUCAGUUUGUUUUAACUGUGAGGGAGCACAGAAAAGUCGAUCGAACAGAAGGAGAAGAGAAGGUGACCAAGAGAGUGUCAGUAUCCAAAAACGGUUCCCCGGGAAGACAUCGAAGCAGCCGUCACACACACAAACACGCGCGGAAUUCUUUUCGUUUGGAUGCCAUUCAGCAUCGAGAAAAUUCCGGAAGGAUCUAAUCGUUGCUGAAAAUUAAUCUGCCAGUUCCCCUUGGAAUUGAAAAUUAUAUUCAAGCGAAAGAGUUUAUUUUAAUGUUUUCUAUCCAUAUAACACUGCGACCACAUACAUUUGGUUUUGUGAUUUGUCAAUCAAGUGCAGUUAGCAGGAAAGCUUCUGAAGAUUAUUCUUCAGAACAAGGUUUUUUGUAUCCAAUAUUGGAUGUAUAAAACCUUGUGCCUCCAAUGUAACGCUCUCGUUUUCGAAGUCCCCCAAAUAUUCAUUUAUUCAUUCAUUCAGAAUGGUUUUAGAUUCAACUUCAAACAAAUGAUUUCUAAAUCAACGAUAGUCCUACGUCACCCUUGCGGUUAUAGCAUAGAUAUAACCCAUUUCCUGUUUUUUACAAAUGCCAACGAAUGCAUUUGUCACCAAAAGAUACGAUUUGUUUUGUAAACAAAUUAGUUUUUUCAAGAGAAAUGGCCGAACAGCAAUUUCGACAUUGCGGUCCACCUAUAGUACAACGUCUUGGUCUGAGCCAAGGAAAGUGAAGUGGAAGGUAAAACGUAAUGUCAGAAUUGCUGUUCGGACGUAUCCCGUAAGUUUGAACUUAUUUACAUAGAUGGUAUCCAAACAACACUAAACAUUGACUACAGUUUCGCCGGCACGGUUGAUUGUCGUUAUGAACCAGCACAAAAAACAAAGCUGCAAAUUAUGCGCCAGUGGCGCUACCACGAUCAAAGCACUCCCUGAAUCUCAUUAACCGAGCCAGCUGGCGGAAGCAUAUGCAUAAAGGUUACUAGGUUACUAUUUUCAACGACAACUGUUUAUUUAUUAUACUGCUUCAAAUACCUUCGACCAAGGAAAGUGAAGUGUAAGGUAAAACGUAAUGUCAGAAUUGCCGUUCGGACGUAUCCCGUAAGUUUGAACUUAUUUACAUAGAUGGUAUCCAAACAACACUAAACAUUGACUACAGUUUCGCCGGCACGGUUGAUUGUCGUUAUGAACCAGCACAAAAAACAAAGCUGCAAAUUAUGCGCCAGUGGCGGUACCACGAUCAAAGCACUCCCUGAAUCACAUUAGCCGAGCCAGCUGGCGGAAGCAUAUGCAUAAAGGUUACUAGGUUACUAUUUUCAACGACAACUGUUUAUUUAUUAUACUGCUUCAAAUACCUUCGACGAAAUCAAAUGUAACCAUACCAACGUAAGUAAUAACAUAAACAAAUCCAAACUUUUCGUCUUGCCAUUCCUCAUACGUCUUUUCUAAAUACUGUAAAUUACGAGCCACCUGUUAACUCCACCAUCUUGCCUUCGACGAAAUCAAAUAUAACCAUACCAACGUAAGUAAUAACAUAAACAAAUCCAAACUUUUCGUCUUGCCAUUCCUCAAACGUCUUUUCUAAAUACCCUGGAGAAAAACUUUUGUACAUCCAGCUACCAAAUCUUUAGUAGUCGAAACAUUUGUAAAAUGUACACUUUUUUUGUAAAUAUUACAUAAACUUUGUUAAAGUGAUGUCAGAUGCAAUAUGCACCCCUAUCAAUGAUUCGUACGUUUUACUUCAUAGAAUGUGUAACCUUGAGUACUUUCAUUUCUGGCAACUGUGUGUAUGCAACCGUCAUUUCUCUAAUGGAAGCGAAGCGAUACGGAGCUUAAAAUCGUAGAAAUCCAUAGAAACGGUUUCACGCAGCCAUCGCAACCAACAGCAGCAAUGGACCGCCUCUCGAUCGAUUCGUUCCAGGAAACGAUGCAUAUCAGUUGGGCCAAUCGUACCGUCAGUAGUGAGGAAACCAACAACAACCAUUUUGCACUGAGCAAUCAACAGCUGCCGAUUCGGACAACAUCGACUCGGAUGGAAGCAGCAGCAACAGCGCAGAUUGUCGGUGUGAUUCCAUAUACUGUCUGCAGCAGAAACUCCACUAGCUGAUGAACGAUAUGCUACGGCGAAAGUAUCACAAUUUCAAACACAUCGUCACGACAACAUUAAUUCUACAGCCGUAAUUGGCGACGGCACCCAGUGAAAACCAUCAUCAUCACUACCACCGAUAGCAGUCCACUAAUCCUUCCAUCGAAGGAUCGGAGGGAAAGCGAUAUGUGUCCCAUUUGUGACACAAUUUCCUCCACAAAUAACGACUUCACGGAGCUCAACAACAGAAAAUCCGCGUCUGAAGAUGAUGGGGAAAGUCAGUUUGCGUGGUAAAUUUGCUUCAAGGCGCUUCGUUGCUGGAUCGGUACAUGCUGCCUCCGCUCGAAUUUGGAGCGUCACGUCAAGCAGUAACAUCCCUAAUUCUGCUCGUAUCGUCAGCACGGAGGCAAUCAUUAGAUGCGCGGCCGGAGCAUUCAACCGGCAAUCAAGCAAUCCGCCAAAGGAAAACAACUCCGACGCAGAGAUCCAAAUCCAUCGUCGACACGGCAGAAAAAAAGCCUAGCGCCAAACCGAGUCAACUGCCCCUACUGGUAUGGUUCCCUCGGAUAACAACAUCAGCAUAUGAUCGGAAAACAUCAGUCCACUGGAGAAAACUGCGAUCUCUUCGAAGGUAUUGCCCAUGACAGAUUCCACCGUGAAGAAGUAUUUUUCUGAUAUCGAACUCUAUUGGUAUUGGAAAAUCAAAAAUAAUCACAUCCAAUGUGCAGCGGUUCUAAGCUAACAUGUGGCUUGGGAUUUCCAGUAAAAUAGAAAUAACGCUGUUCUAUGUGUUGAACGCGGUUAUCAUAUUUGACAACGUAUUCGAAUAAGAGACACUCGUGACCAGUGUGAGCCACAUCAAAGAAAGCGAAGAGCGUACGGCAUGCAUUAUCGAGGUUUACUGUUUCGAUGUCCCGUUCGAGUACGUACGACGUGGUGUCAAUAUCCGGCGUCAAAUCAUCUUCGAAGAUGAGAACGAAAUGAUGCAAUUUGCGAUCCAGCAAAAUUACGCAAGUGUCCGAAAAGGCACACCUUUGAGUACUGUGAUAUCCAACUCGCUCGGUAAAAACAUACAGGAAAAGCUUUUCAAUAAAAAGCAAUUAUAAAAAUAAGAAUAGAAUAACAAUAUUAAUAAAAAUAAAAAUAUUUUAGAUAAAAAUUAUAUUGUACCAAUGG